CUCUCAAACCCCCAAUGCUUUGAAAAUAACAUGAAAUUGAAAGUCCUCAGAGAAGCUGAACUAACAGAUGUGUUUUGACAUCUGAAACAUCUGUAGCUGAACAAUGCUUUAUAAUCACAUGAUCACACCUCCUCUGAACCUGAAGCUGCAUGACUUUAUUAGUUUGGGUUUGUUUGCUUGUUUUGCAUUAUUAAUCAUUUGUUCUGUGUUCCUGCAUCCGCUUCUCCUCCACACCACACACGCUCACCUGCUUUAUGCUGCACUGUUGCACGUAGCCCUGGAGGAUCCAGCCUCAGGAGAUCAGUCCUCCUCCCACAGCAAACCUGGACCGCUCCAGUGAUAAGGUGUAUGAGAACGUGACGGGGCUGGUGAAGGCCGUGAUCGAGAUGUCCAGCCGCAUCCAGCCCGCGCCGCCCGAGGAGUACGUCCCCAUGGUGAAGGAUGUUGGACAGGCGCCCAUGACACCACCA